rnacentral:lncRNA from 1 species
GGCGAGGCCAGCCAUGGGCCGGCCCGCCAAUCAGGACGCGCGCGGGCGUUUUGAACCCUUAGCGGUACGCUGCGCUCCUCCGGUUGGGAACAGCGCGCAGAGAAGAGCCGCUGCGUGUACCCGGGACCAGGGCCUGCACGCCGCGGCGGACCGGUGACAAGUCAGGUGGAGAAGCUCAAGUCUUGAACUCUGCUUGGUUUCCCAGGUACAGGCUAGACCCCACCCACGAUGAUCACUGAAUCACCAGGUGCUGAGGCCUCUUUCUGUUGUCAAGAGCCAGAGACAACUGAAAGAGCCAGAGACAAUUGAAAGUCCCCAACAGUGACAAAUUCUACAGACAAUGAAAUGGAAGAAAAGCAGACACACUGUCAGAGGAAAUGGCAACCUACUGCAGCCAUCAUGCAAACCACUGCAGCUUUUCGACAACUGAACAAGUGGAAGAU